UACGAAGGGGGCUAGCGUUGUUCGGAUUUACUGGGCGUAAAGCGCACGUAGGCGGACUCUUAAGUCGGUGGUGAAAUCCUGGAGCUCAACUCCAGAACUGCCUUCGAUACUGAGAGUCUUGAGUCCGGGGAGAGGUGAGUGGAACUGCGAGUGUAGAGGUGAAAUUCGUAGAUAUUCGCAAGAACACCAGUGGCGAAGGCGGCUCACUGGCCCGGUACUGACGCUGAGGUGCGAAAGCGUGGGGAGCAAACAGG
rnacentral:rRNA from 1 species